GUGGACUGAGGCACAAGCGAUGCGUCCCUAACCUAGAGAUGGGUCAUUCGACCCCAAUGUGCUAAAACGGGCUCACAAAUUAAUUUAUGAAAGUGAAGGAGAUCCCGAAUGGGUCUAUGAUUAUAUGAGAAAGGGUUAUGAAAUCUGGAUGAAGAUGAUGAGUGUGUGGAAUGACAAACAAAAUAUUAACCUACCAAAAGAGGUAAAGAAAUUAAUUCCGAAGGCUCUUAAAGGCUCAGCAUCAAAGAUUGAGGUAAAAAGAAAGGAGACACCCUUUUGUUGAGAUAACAAAAGAUUUUUAGUUAAGUUACUUAAAACAAUAGCAUGGUGGUUACUCGCCGUCGUUCGCAUGCGCACAACUCUCCGGAGUCAACAAGGCAUUUGAACCACGAGAAGGCAAGGAGCUAUUUUCUCCCCUUCAGCGGUGAGCAAGUUUUAUGAUAAGUUCUUUUAAAAUCAAUGUUUUUAUGGUCUGAGUUGUCUAAGAGUAAUUUGAAGUAUUGCCAAAGAAGUUAGCAGUUGUCAAAAAACAAAAACUUUAUUAUAAUUUUGCCUCAAAUUGUGGAUGAAAAAAGCCAUUAAUAGCCUCUGUCACCUGUUCCUUUGAGGCUAUUUUAACUUAUAACAUUUUGAAACUGAACGUUACAUACACCAUUUAAUAAGCCUGUGAAGCAUCCGAUGUUCUUGAAAAUAAAUGUAAAAAUAAUUUUUACAUGUUAUUUUAGUCUUGUUGAUCGUUGCACAACCUGCCGUUAAACAACACCACACAACUUAACGCCGUCACACGAGAGGGUGCUCUCAUCCUCAACACCCACUAACUUAUAAAUGGGAGCAAACUUGUCACCUUUCGGCGAACCGAGCCGAUCUGUACAAAACAAUUGGGAAGAGGCAAGUAAGUCAAAAAGGUUUGAAACCACCUGAGAAAAAACAAAACAAGUAACAUUUGAAAAAUUUAAGUUUGUUCUAACAUGCUGAACUUAUAAUGGGUACAAUCUAUAUUUGUGAGGUGGUAUGCAGUUCACUAUCCAGGGGUCUGCAAAUGUGGCUAAGUAUUAUGUAUUAUGUUAUAUUAAAAUCAUAUGGUAAAUUUUUAAAUAUACAUGAUUGAUGAAGAUGAUUUAAACUUUUGCAUUAUUUCCGCAGCAUAUAUGCAUCAGCCCUUAUGGCGUCUCUGACGGUGGAAUACUGGAGGUCAUCAAAGGCUCGACGAGAUGCAGAACUGUCCACUACAUUUUCUCUCCUUUCUAGAUCCUUCCAGCUGGUUUACAAAAAUGAGGCUGUCGGUAUCUUUUUACACAGCAUUCACAAUUUAGCACACAUUAAAGACAUGAUAGUGUGGCAACCACAUAAAUGUUGGCCCUCUUACUGAAAGAUUAUUUUAAUAAGGUUUAGAUUAAAUAUUUUUCUUUCAGUAUACACACACUCACACAGAUACUUAUACAUAUAUAAAGAGCAAAAAUGCUGGUAUUAACACUGCUUAUGAUUUUGUGCUAUAUAAAUAAAACCUGAAAUUGAGUUGAAUUAGAAUUUGAACUUGAUUUAGGGUUGAAGUUUAUUUAACCAUAAUUGUAGAUCAGGUCUUUGUGAAUAUUUCAUACAGUAACACAACUUGUGAUUGUAUUCUUUAUGGACUGUUGCCUAAAUGGGAUCUGAUACAGAUCAUCUUAUGCCCAUGGCAAAAAAAAAAAACCUGACAAAAUAGAGAUAUAUUUUAAAACUUAUUUUAAUUGUUUUAAUAUUUGAUGUUGUUUUCAAUUUAAUACAAAAUUCAUUUUGUAUAAUAAAAAGAUUUUCAAGAACUUAGUUUACAUGUUUCUGCAUUAUUCCAGACAUUCUGUGUUUUUUAGGGAUUUGUAUACACUUAUCUACAAUAAAACAAUAGGGUCAAUGUGGCAUAACUCUGUUAAAUGCUCAUUAGGUUUUGUUACUGGUAAGUAUUAAUACUUAUAGAUGAUCAAUACUAGCUUUGCUAUUGCCAAAUAAGUUUUCAUUAUCUUACAUAUGUCUGUAAGCCAACACUGGUCUCACACUGAGAUCCUGCUCUGUUCUCCUCACAAUAGAGUCAAAUUACAUUUCUCUGACUGCUGUUCUGUCCACAGGCUCAUAAUUGUAUGACUGUGGUCUGUCGUUUGUGUGAAUAUCUCAGAAUAUCUUAUCUCUGCAUUCAAACAAGCGCACCACGAUUAGUUGUCUUCGUACUGUUCGUACUGAUCUCCCUGGUCCGACAUCACUUCCGGUGUAGUCUGGCAAUUUUUCAGAUGCCGAAGAACUUUUUUUUUUUGACAAAAAACGACUCCAGGUGGCUUAAUAAUAAACUUUAAUGUUAAUUUAAAAAAAAUAAUUAAGUUCCUACUUUACUCUUACGCACAUUGACUCACUGGGUGUUUAACCUACAAUAUGCUCUUCAAGACCAAACAUUUUUACAUGUAACCGGCAGAUUUUAGUUUGCCUUUGCAAAACUGUCUGCUUCUAAAUUUGGUUUUAAUUGGCUUGACAGUGUAAAAGAAGCUUGUGACCACUAGAUCACAGAUUUUAAACCAUGCAUUUCCUUGCAGAGCUCAAAACAAUGUAAAAGAACUGUUGUCCUGUUUGGCCUUCCUUAUUGCAUGAAAGUGGACACCAAGUUCAUCAAAACUUGUGAGAGAAAGGAAACUGGUUUGGAACAUAUGGAGGAUGAGUAAAUGACAAGCUUCUUUUUGAGACAACUGAUAAGGAAAGCCUCAUUCACACUACAAGCAACUCACAGCGGCAACGCGACAAGCAACCAUUCAUUUCAACGGAGAGCAAGGUACUUCUGGCGACCUCCUUCUACGCGAGCGACAGCAACCGUUGACGACAAGGUGGGCGUGUCGAGCGUCAUGAUAACGUUGAGAAUGCUUCAACUUUCUUAAGCAACAGCCAAUAGGAGCACCAGUAGAGCUCACAUGAUCCUCUCUCAUCUCGCUCAGAGGCUAAUUGUAUUCAUGCUGUGUAGACCUACUCAGACCUGCGUUUGAAGCAGGUCGCCAACCAAAGCAACAGGCAUCUACGAAGUUGCUGCUAUUCUGAAUAAGGCAGAAGAGGCAGUGAAAGGAAUACAUGUUGAACUAUUGAUAGCCAUAGAGGAGAACACCUCAAAACUUUUUCCAAGAGAAAUAAUGCAUGUGGCUGUGGUGUGAGAGGAAGAGGUUGUACGGUGGCCUGAGGGAUGUCAGAUGUCUUUGCUGUGCUAAUAGGGAUUCUUCUUGCCCUGAAUAUCACUUAUCUCAAGGAAGUAAAUAUACAUUUGACAUCCCCCUAAAAGAUCCUGAGAAUUGGUGGUGAAGCAUGCUCUGCAAAAGUAUAUAGAGUAAGAAUCAAACUCUUAAGUGUUUUGUGGAUUUUGCUCACCCAUGCUCAAACUUACUGAUAAUCAUGUUGUUCAUUUAACUUUAAGGACUAAAUCUCAAUCAAAUGUAUCGAGUUGCUUACCCUUAAUGAAAAGGGAAACAUUUGUUGGAUAAGCAACUUUAUUGUAAGUGAUUUUUUUAUGAUUCUCACAUUACACUUCAUAUUACACCACAGCAGACAUUCUGUUACAGACAUUAUGUAACACACUAUAUCAACUCUGUCUGCUACAAUUGCAGUUUAACAAAAAUUCAACAAGUCAGAAAUCUCAAGAAACACUAAAAUGCAUUUCUCAAACAGCAUUAAAAUGAACCUUUUGAAAUGUUUCUUCCUCUAUUCAACAUUUUAAAGGCCUACAACAAUUCAUAACAUGUUAUAAUGAAAAGUGUGUUUACAACUGUUCUGCAACAUAUUCAGAUAAACAUUCUGUUACAGACAUUCUAUACAAACUCAGGUUGUGUUAAACUGCAAAUCUAGCAGACUUGUUUUAUAUCUUACUCGAUGACAGUGAUUUGAAUCUUGUAACAUGAAGUGCAAUGCGAGAACAAGAAUCACCACUUACAUUAAAGUUGCUUAUCAUCAAACACAUUUUCUCCUUUUCAUUAAGAGUAAGCAACUCAUUACACUGAAUUGAGAUUUAGUCCUUAAAGUUGAAUAAACAACAUGGAUAUCAGUAAGUGCAUGGGUGAGCAAAAAUCCACUAAAAACUUAAGAGUUUGUUUCUUAGGGCCUACUCACACUAUGCCAUCCCUACUGUGCCCAGGCCCGUUUCCCGGAUCGUUUGAGAAGUGUGAG